GGGGUCGUAAAUGGUUUCGACGGGGAUUCGGAAGGACAGAGAAGCGAGCGGCAGCCCUGGACUGCCUCAAAAACGGGAACUAAAAAUGAACUGACAACUACGACAACGUAGCUUUCGCGGCUUAAUCCGCGAUCGUCGCCCUUGAGCCUCCUGCGGCGCAAGCCAGCGGCGUCAUAAAAGCAGGGAACCAGCCGCCCUAAGCUUUGCGGGCGGUGGGACUUUAUGAAGCUACUGAAGCCGGAAUCCUGUCUGCGGGAGUCCGGUGGAGGGAAUUUUAAAACACAGACUGCGCUCGGAGAAGCUCUAUCGGUCUGGUCUUCGGACAGGAGUUCGACUCUCCUCGGCUCCACCA
rnacentral:tmRNA from 2 species